CCGCUUACAUGUGAUGAAAUCGUCACCUAUCUUCUUGCUGGUUUCGGUCAUGAUUAUGACCCCUUUGUUACUACUAUUUCAGCUCGCAAAAAUCCUGUUACACUAGAGGAAGUUUAUUCGCUGCUUCUCACUACCGAGU